GAUGAACGCUAGCUAUAGGCUUAACACAUGCAAGUCGAGGGGAAACGGCAUUAUGUGCUUGCACAUUUUGGACGUCGACCGGCGCACAGGUGAGUAUCACGUAUCCAACCUGCCCUUUACUUGGGGAUACCCCGUUGAAAGACGGCCUAAUACCCGAUGUAAUUCAUUGAUGGCAUCAGAUAUGAAUAAAAGAUUUAUCGGUAAAGGAUGGGGAUGCGUCUGAUUAGCUUGUUGGUGAGGUAACGGCUCACCAAGGCGACGAUCAGUAGGGGUUCUGAGAGGAAGGUCCCCCACAUUGGAACUGAGACACGGUCCAAACUCCUACGGGAGGCAGCAGUGAGGAAUAUUGGUCAAUGGGCGCAAGCCUGAACCAGCCAAGUAGCGUGCAGGAAGACGGCCCUAUGGGUUGUAAACUGCUUUUAUACGAGAAUAAUUUGAUGCACGUGUGCGUUAUUGCAUGUAUCGUAUGAAUAAGGACCGGCUAAUUCCGUG
rnacentral:rRNA from 1 species